rnacentral:lncRNA from 1 species
GAUUUUAGGGUUAAGAAUUUUGAAAUUUAGGAUUUAAUACCAAAAUUCAAAAUAAAUUUCAAAAUAUAAUUUAGGAGUGUACAAUAUUUGUUUAAAAGAGUAAAAAAUUUUGAAAUCCAAUAAAUUUGAAGUGAAUUCCUUGAUCAAAUUUCAAAAUUUAAUAUUAUUUUUAAAUUUGAUAAUCAUUAAAUUGAAUUUUUAAUUUUAAAUUUCAAAAUUG